UCUAGAAUGAAGUCAACAAUAACAUUUCAAAACAAAUCCUCUCCAAGACUUCAGUCUGAAGAAGAGUGAUUUGAGGUCUGUCACCACUUGCAGGCGAUAAUCUUGUAGUGUAGCAGGAAGAAAGUGUUUCAGCUGCAGAUGAAAGAGGAACACCUGCUGUGAAGCAUUAUACAAACGCUGAAGAUGCUGGAAAGAUGCCAGGGCUCCUUGGAUAUACAGAAGGGAGCUGCAAGACACACAGCUGCACUCCCACUGGGUGGUUAAAGGAAACCCAUUGAAGAAUGCUGCCAAGUACAACUCCGGGAGAAACUUCCACUCAUGAGUCAUUUGAAUGAGAAAAUGAACAGACACUAACAAUUCCUUUAAAAAUCCCUUGAAAGUGAUCAUCUACAAAGAGAAAGUAGGGGAAGAAAACAGCUAUGAAGGAAGAGAGGAUGGAGAAAGCUUCAUCAGUUGUUUCAGGCAAAAGCAAACCACUGCAACUUCUUCUGUAUCAUGCACUGCUCCUCAUUAAUCAUCUCUGCCAUCUUAACCACUCUCUGAUGCAGCUGAGACAUAUGUGCCCUGGUUUCAUCUGUGAAAUAUUGGAAGAUGGGUGA
rnacentral:lncRNA from 11 species